AGAGUUUGAUCCUGGCUCAGGAUAAACGCUGGCGGCGUGCAUAACACAUGCAAGUCGAACGAUGAAACUUUAAUGAACCCUUCGGGGAGAAUUAAAGCGGAUUAGUGGCGAACGGGUGAGUAACGCGUGAGUAACCUGCCUUACACAAGGGGAUAGCCUUUGGAAACGAAGAAUAAUACCCUAUAAAACCAUAAAAGCACAUGCAAUUAUGGUCAAAGUAUUAGCGGUGUAAGAUGGACUUGCGUCUGAUUAGCUAGUUGGUGAGAUAAAAGCCCACCAAGGCAACGAUCAGUAGCCGGCUUGAGAGAGUGUACGGCCACGUUGGGACUGAGACACGGCCCAGACUCCUACGGGAGGCAGCAGUGGGGAAUUUUGCACAAUGGGGGAAACCCUGAUGCAGCGACGCCGCGUGAUUUAGAAGGCCUUCGGGUUGUAAAAAUCUUUUGUAUAGGAAGAAAAUGACAGUACUAUACGAAUAAGGUCCGGCUAAUUACGUGCCAGCAGCCGCGGUAAUACGUAAGGACCGAGCGUUGUCCGGAAUCAUUGGGCGUAAAGGGUACGUAGGCGGCUAGAAAAGUUAAAAGUCAAAGGCUAUAGCUCAACUAUAGUAAGCUUCUAAAACUAUUUAGCUUGAGAGAUGGAAGGGAAAGUGGAAUUCCUAGUGUAGCGGUGGAAUGCGCAGAUAUUAGGAGGAAUACCGGUGGCGAAGGCGACUUUCUGGCCAUUUUCUGACGCUGAGGUACGAAAGCGUGGGUAGCAAACAGGAUUAGAUACCCUGGUAGUCCACGCCGUAAACGAUGAGUGUUAGGUGUCUGGAGUCAAAUCUGGGUGCCGCAGCAAACGCAUUAAACACUCCGCCUGGGGAGUACGCACGCAAGUGUGAAACUCAAAGGAAUUGACGG
rnacentral:rRNA from 1 species